AAAACACAAAUAGUAAAAAACUUUCAACAACGGAUCUCUUGGUUCCAGCAUCGAUGAAGAACGCAGCGAAAUGCGAUAAGUAAUGUGAAUUGCAGAAUUCAGUGAAUCAUCGAAUCUUUGAACGCACAUUGCG
rnacentral:rRNA from 1 species